GGGUGGGUAGUUCAAAUAGCAGAACACCUCCUUUACGAGGAGACAGUUGGAGGUGCAAGUCCUCCUCCACUCG
rnacentral:tRNA from 1 species